UACGUAGGUGGCAAGCGUUGUCCGGAUUUAUUGGGUUUAAAGGGUGCGUAGGCGGUUCUAUAAGUCAGUGGUGAAAUCCGGCAGCUCAACUGUCGAUGUGCCAUUGAUACUGCAGAACUUGAGUACAGACGAGGUAGGCGGAAUUGACGGUGUAGCGGUGAAAUGCUUAGAUAUCGUCAAGAACACCGAUAGCGAAGGCAGCUUACUAGGCUGUAACUGACGCUGAGGCGCGAAAGCUAGGGGAGCAAACAGG
rnacentral:rRNA from 1 species